AUCAAAUUUUGUUACAUUAGUAUAUUUUAUGUGAGGAAACUUAAUAUCAUCACAAAAAAAUAAAAAAUGGGGUCAUUUUUAUAAUUAUCUCAAAAUAAAGUCCUCAUAAGCAAAAGUUAAAACUAAACCUCUUCCCAAAAUUCCCUCAUUCUUCGCAGCGUGACUUCAAAAAACGAAAGCAAUUAUCUUUCAAUCUCUCUGAAUCUCUUUUCAAUCCUCUCUCAAUUUAAAAACAUAUUGUCGAUUGAUUUGUCUGGUUCAGAUUCUUCAUGGAAGAGUAUCAACCAACUUUUUUAGUGAUAUAUCACUCUCGAUUUCCGAAUCGGAGGCUCUUCUUCUUUAUGGUAAUUUGGGGCGCUUUGAGUGUGGAAAUUGCUGUUUGUUAAGUUUUUUUUUGGUGGCUUUUGUUAGAAUUGGUACGGUUUUGGUUUGGCUGAGCUGCUGGAAUCUGGGGAAAGCCAUAUAACAACAAGGGUGAUGAGAACUUUUGGUUACGUGGCUCCUGAAUAUGCAAAUACUGACUUGCUGAAUGAAAAAAGCGACAUAUACAGUUUUGGUGUUCUACUUCUUGAAGCUGUCACCGGAAGAGAUCCAGUAGAUUACACACGUCCAGCCAAUGAGGUUAAUCUUGUCGAGUGGCUUAAAAUGAUGGUAGGGAACAGUAGAGCAGAGGAAGUUGUGGGCUCUAGCCUUGAAGUCAGGCCUACUACCCGUGCCCUCAACAUCUCUUACAGUUCUGGAAAAUUGUGAAAAAUUUGAGCCCAACUCCAAGUGCUGAAUGUCCAAGACGAUCACAAAUUUGAGAGUAGUACUGGUUUAUUGGAUACUCAUGUUUCUACUCCUCAAGAUCAAGGACUAUCUGGUAGAAACUUCUUCCCCUUCUCACACAUACUACCCUGUAAAUAACAGUGACACUGCAGUGUCCUUUGAAGCUUUUUUGGUGAGAGAUUGAACUUCAGAUGAUGUCGAAAAUGGUUUGUCUCAACCUCAAAACAGAGCAGCAUUUAGAAUGAGUGCUCUGUAGAUAAGUUCCCUUCCUUGAUGCCCAAAUCAAGCACCGGACCCGGUAUACAAGAAAACUCUAGCAGCUUGCUGGAUGUUUUUGCUAAUCUAAGUUCCGGAAGAACUACUACCAAUUUUGUAUCAUUCGGGCUAUCAAGUUCUGGAAAUAUGACUUCUGGACUCAGUUCAUCAACCAGUAAUCCAUCUGCGAAUAAUUCACAAGGUUCUCUAUUCGGUGGUGCCAGUAAAUCUUUUGUGCCUGCUGUUGGAGCAGACACAGACUGCAUUCUCUCCACUUUCACCUAGAAAGCAACACGUGCGAGACACAGAAUUGGGAAGCUCCUACUGUCUGGGUUAUGUUUAUAGUGUAUGAAAAUGUGCUAAAUAUGUUUAAACUGCAUCGAUUAUGAUUAGAGUUUCAUUGUUUUGAACUCAUGUGAUCUUUAUUAACAUGCAUUUCGGUGUAGGUGAUUACAUUUGUAUUCUACGUUUUUUUUAGCUCUUAAAUUUUAUUGUUUAUUUUAGUUUUUUGAGAA